rnacentral:rRNA from 1 species
AUUGAACGCUGGCGGCAGGCCUAACACAUGCAAGUCGAGCGAGCGGCGGAGGGGUGAGUAAUGUCUGGGAAACUGCCUGAUGGAUGGGGAUAACUACUGGAAACGGUAGCUAAUACCGCAUACCAUCAGAGCUGCCCAGAUGGGAUUAGCUAGUAGGUGGGGUAAUGGCUCACCUAGGCGACGAUCCCUAGCUGGUCUGAGAGGAUGACCAGCCACACUGUAACUGAGACACGGUGCAGACUCCUACGGGAGGCAGCAGUGGGGAAGAUUGCACAAUGGGCGCAAGCCUGAUGCAGCCAUGCCGCGUGUAUGAAGAAGGCCUUCGGGUUGUAAAGUACUUUCAGCGGUGAGGCGUUACCUGUAUAAGAAGCACCGGCUAACUCCGUUCCAGCAGCCGCGGUAAUUC